rnacentral:rRNA from 1 species
CACGUAGGGCGCGAGCGUUGUCCGGAAUUAUUGGGCGUAAAGAGCUCGUAGGCGGUCUGUUGCGUCCGCUGUGAAAGCCCGGGGCUUAACCCCGGGUCGGCAGUGGAUACGGGCAGGCUAGAGGUAGGUAGGGGAGAAUGGAAUUCCCGGUGUAGCGGUGGAAUGCGUAGAGAUCCGGAAGAACACCGGUGGCGAAGGCGGCCUGCUGGGCAGUAGCUGACGCUGAGGCGCGACAGCGUGGGGAGCAAACAGG